AUUGAACGCUGGCGGCAUGCUUUACACAUGCAAGUCGAACGGUAACAGGCCUUCGGGUGCUGACGAGUGGCGGACGGGUGAGUAAGGCAUCGGAACGUGCCCGGAGGUGGGGGUUAACGCAGCGAAAGCUGUGCUAAUACCGGCUGUGAUCUGAGGAUGAAAGCGGGGGACCACGCAGCAAUGUUUGGCCUCGCGCCUCUGGAGCGGCCGAUGUCAGAUUAGGUAGUUGGUGGGGUAAAGGCCUACCAAGCCGACGAUCUGUAGCUGGUCUGAGAGGACGACCAGCCACACUGGGACUGAGACACGGCCCAGACUCCUACGGGAGGCAGCAGUGGGGAAUUUUGGACAAUGGGCGCAAGCCUGAUCCAGCAAUGCCGCGUGCGGGAAGAAGGCCUUCGGGUUGUAAACCGCUUUUGUACGGAACGAAAAGGCUCUGGCUAAUACCUGGGGCUGAUGACGGUACCGUAAGAAUAAGCACCGGCUAACUACGUG
rnacentral:rRNA from 1 species